GCUGGCGAGCCAACCCAGCCCAGCGCUGGGGCGGCCUCGGCCGCAAAUCCAAUCAUCCUGUCCGGCACGAGCGGAGAGCUUUGGGUAAUGGAGUUAAAGCUGUCUCAGUUCCUGCCAUGUUUGGUCCUACCAGGACGUCUGGUGGAAGUGAAUGGAGAGAACCCGAAUGGUGGCGCGCCGUAAGACUCUCGGAAGAAGGCAGUAUUAAAUCUCACUUCGUCAUGCCUAUUCAGUUACUCGAUGCAUUAGAAGGAAAUGGCGGACUGAUAGGUAUAACACGCUCUCUGUUUCCCAAAAUGGGAAGGCUAAUUGUAGGUUGACAGUGCAAACAUGUUCAGAGCUGGAAAUGGCUAUGAGUUUUUUUGGUAAGGUUAAUUGCUAGUCUCAGGAACUAUAUGCAUUUUUGACUUUUUGGACAGAUUAGGCUUCAGCUAUGCAAACAUUCAAAUAUAACACAGGGCUCACUAGCAGAAACACAGAAGGAUUUAUUUUAUGUUUAUAUUGUAACCUUCCUUUGACCAUUAUAUCUUCUUACAGCUUUCGAAUUUCAUUGAGUACAUGAAAAGCACUUAAAGGUUUUAUUAUUAUUAUUAUUAUUAUUAUUAUUAUUAUUAUAUUAUUAUAGCACUUCAUAUUUUAUUACCAGCCCUGUAUUCAUUUUCGUAUUCCGAUUAAGGGUAGUAAGUAAGAGCUAAUAUAUCUUUGUUCUCUGACUAGACUUGGGCUCUGUCCUGCUGAAACCGAUCACCAUGUCUGGCUUGAGCGAGGUGGCAGCUUAUCCCUUUGUAACCAGGGAAACCGUUUGGUCACAGCGGAAUUCCUCCAGCUCACUGAUAUGACGUUGCCAAAUACAUGCUAACCCCUCCUGUCAAUCUUUCUGUAGCUCUUAUAAUGAGACUACUCAUGGGAGACAUGAAAUGUUCACACACGGCUGAACUUUAUGACUAAGCAGUGUCCUACUUGCGUUUCCAGAAAAUAUCUCCCUAAACAGCACCUGUCAUUUAGAGUGGAGUUGCCAAAACAUCACAGAACUUGUUUUGAUUCUGUCCCCUGGGCUCACGGGCUCUAUUCAGUAACAUUUCACUCAGUCUUUUCCCAGUCGCGCCCCUGCGGCUGGAGGGCGACAGCUGAGGCUGGUGAGAGGAGAUUGUGCUAGGCCGUUGAAAUGUAGCCCCUCUGGAGGGCUUUGGGUUACCCCGCUGCUCCUGGCAGGCAGCGGGCCUCUGUGGUCCUCCUGUGCACCACCUUGGAGCCGCAGCCACAUGUGGAGGAUAGGGUUGCCAGAGCCUCUCUUUAGUUCUUCAUAGGUCAGGGCCACUCGGGUUUCCAGAUUCAUUUCAGCCUGUUAAGCAACAAUUGCUGCCUUGGCUGUAGAUGUACUGGUGCAAUAAACUUUAAAAGAAUACAACAUUACACAUCAUUAAUAAAUAUAUAAUGUGCUAAUGUUA